AUCCUGGCGGCGAGUGGCCGAACGGGUGAGUAAUACAUCGGAACGUGCCCAAUCGUGGGGAUAACGCAGCGAAAGCUGUGCUAAUACCGCAUACGAUCUACGGAUGAAAGCAGGGGAUCGCAAGACCUUGCGCGAAUGGAGCGGCCGAUGGCAGAUUAGGUAGUUGGUGAGGUAAAGGCUCACCAAGCCUUCGAUCUGUAGCUGGUCUGAGAGGACGACCAGCCACACUGGGACUGAGACACGGCCCAGACUCCUACGGGAGGCAGCAGUGGGGAAUUUUGGACAAUGGGCGAAAGCCUGAUCCAGCCAUGCCGCGUGCAGGAUGAAGGCCUUCGGGUUGUAAACUGCUUUUGUACGGAACGAAACGGCCUUUUCUAAUAAAGAGGGCUAAUGACG
rnacentral:rRNA from 1 species